rnacentral:misc_RNA from 1 species
CCAGACACUAAAGUUCUGCAAGCAAUGCAAUUGAUGACAGAUAACCGCAUCAGGCACAUUCCUGUCAUUGAUGAUAAGGAAAUGAUUGGCAUGGUGUCCAUUGGGGAUGUUGUCCGUGCUGUAGUGACUGAGCACCGGGAGGAGCUGGACCGCUUGAAUGCUUACAUACAAGGAGGCUACUAGAUGAUGACGACAAAAAAUGUGAUGGAAUGCAGUGGAUGUGCUUACUGUCGGACGACCAGUAAGCAAAAAGCUUGUAAAUAUGGCAUGUCAUGUGUCUUCAGUUAUGUGGUUUUACUUUUCCCCAUAUCAGAAUAUCUGAUGUCAAAUAACAGCAUGUGGACUAACAGGUACAUGAUAAGCACAAUCUUGUUGCUUGAGACCAUUGUCUGUGCGCCUUGGAUGAACUUCAAAUUGGUUGUGGACUUGUAAUGUCAAAAUCCUUCAUCCAAGGCGCACAGACAAUGGUCUC